rnacentral:lncRNA from 1 species
UUAGUCCGGCUUUUAUGUACUCUCUGGAGAUGGCACGUAACCUAUGUAAAUGUUGCGCGUGCGUGUCUGAGUUUAUGGAAUGUAUGUUGAAUAUAUAUCUAUGUGUAUGUGUGUAUAUAUGUUUGUAUAUGAAAGAACGUGCAGUGUAUGCCCGCGCACGACGAACGUCGGUUCGAUACUGGAGGCCACUCGUUCGUCGAACGAUGUUAGCCUCCGUGAGUCCCACCGUUUGCGUUCUCCGUCACUAACACUACUUUAUCAUGAAACACAACUACUAAGAUGACGACCAAUCGCAUUCACGAAAAAUUGUAAUUUUAAUUGGGAUAUUAAUGAUUUGGUUGAUGAUUUGGAAUAAAUGAAAUAAUCAACUAGGAUUAUCAGGUGGAUAACUUAGGUACUAGGACCACUUGAUUCUUCAUCAACUGGUGUAUGAUCCAAUGGUACACCAAUAUAUUCGUAAUCACCAGAUCUGUAAGGUGCUAUCAAAUAUUCCGGUGGUCCACAGGGUACGGGAGAUGUUGUAUCACUUCCAAUUGGACUCUAGAAUUCUACAAACAAACAGAAAGCACGUUGCUUGUAAAUUGAUACCAGUGGACUCUAGGUAAAGUAUAUAAAAUAAUAUUUUAUUUAUUAAUUAAAAUGUUUAUUC